rnacentral:rRNA from 1 species
AUUGAACGCUGGCGGCAUGCCUUACACAUGCAAGUCGAACGGUAACAGGUCUUCGGAUGCUGACGAGUGGCGAACGGGUGAGUAAUACAUCGGAACGUGCCUAGUAGUGGGGGAUAACUACUCGAAAGAGUGGCUAAUACCGCAUGAGAUCUACGGAUGAAAGCAGGGGAUCGCAAGACCUUGUGCUACUAGAGCGGCCGAUGGCAGAUUAGGUAGUUGGUGGGAUAAAAGCUUACCAAGCCGACGAUCUGUAGCUGGUCUGAGAGGACGAUAAGCCACACUGGGACUGAGCCACGGCCCAGACUCCUACGGGAGGAAGCAGUGGGGAAUUUUGGACAAUGGGCGAAAGCCUGAUCCAGCAAUGCCGCGUGCAGGAUGAAGGCCUUCGGGUUGUAAACUGCUUUUGUACGGAACGAAAAGCCCCGGGUUAAUACCCUGGGGUCAUGACGGUACCGUAAGAAUAAGCACCGGCUAACUACGUGCCAGCCGCCGCCGUAA